ACGGAUAUGAUGAAAUUGGUAGACAUGUUAGAUUUAGAUUCUAAUGAUAAGUAAAUCGUGAGGGUUCAAAUCCCUCUAUCCGCA
rnacentral:tRNA from 2 species